rnacentral:rRNA from 1 species
UACGGAGGAUCCAAGCGUUAUCCGGAAUCAUUGGGUUUAAAGGGUCCGUAGGCGGUUUUUUAAGUCAGAGGUGAAAUCCUGCAGCUCAACUGUAGAAUUGCCUUUGAUACUGAAAGACUUGAGUAUGGAUGAGGUGGUUGGAAUAUAACAUGUAGCGGUGAAAUGCAUAGAUAUGUUAUAGAACACCAGUGGCGAAGGCGGCUCACUGGCUCGAUACUGACGCUGAGGUGCGAAAGUGUGGGGAGCAAACAGG